GCCGAAGUGGUGAAAUUGGUAGACGCGCCAGACUCAAAAUCUGGUGGAGGCAACUCCGUGUCGGUUCGAUUCCGACCUUCGGCACCA
rnacentral:tRNA from 1 species